rnacentral:rRNA from 1 species
UACGGGGGGGCAAGCGUUGUUCGGAAUUACUGGGCGUAAAGGGCGCGUAGGCGGCCUUCUAAGUCGAACGUGAAAUCCCCGGGCUCAACCCGGGAACUGCGUCCGAUACUGGAAGGCUUGAAUCCGGGAGAGGGAUGCGGAAUUCCAGGUGUAGCGGUGAAAUGCGUAGAUAUCUGGAGGAACACCGGUGGCGAAGGCGGCAUCCUGGACCGGUAUUGACGCUGAGGCGCGAAAGCCAGGGGAGCAAACGGG